UACAGAGGUCUCAAGCGUUGUUCGGAUUCAUUGGGCGUAAAGGGUGCGUAGGUGGCGCCGUAAGUCAGGUGUGAAAUUUCGGAGCUUAACUCCGAAACUGCAUUUGAUACUGCGGUGCUUGAGGACUGGAGAGGAGACUGGAAUUCACGGUGUAGCAGUGAAAUGCGUAGAGAUCGUGAGAAAGACCAGUGGCGAAGGCGGGUCUCUGGACAGUUCCUGACACUGAGGCACGAAGGCCAGGGGAGCAAACGGG
rnacentral:rRNA from 1 species